GGACGGCCCUCUAUUGGAGAAACCAUGGCAACGGGUUGAUUGCAGGGAGGGCUUUGUGGGUACAAAGGGGAAGCAGCUAUGUCAGUACACCGCCUUGCGCUGACGUGUACAGACGGCCGGAGCCUGUACUGUUUACCUUUUGUUUUGUGGUUUGUGUUUUUUCGUUGCAGACGAGGAGUGAGCCGUGGACCGGCAGUCACAAGCACUGCCCUGCACAGCACAACACAGCACCGCACCACACUCACUGGCACUACGCUUCCCAGGACGUGCACAGAGGACGGGGGGGACGGACAAAGUCCAGUUUGUUUAUUUUUGUUUAUGAACUGAAAACCUGCCAUGUACCCCCCCAAUACCAUCGUUGGUAAAGGGGCGGAUUAUUUUUGUUAUUAUUAUUAUUAUUUAUUAUUAUUAAAUACAUGGACUGUUUUGGGAGAAACGCUGUUUGUACAUUCUUUUUAUUCACUGUACCACUGCACCUGACGACAUUUGGUAUGCAGAAGAGGGAUUACAAAUGGACCCAACCGCAUUGGCAGUGCUGUUGGAGGCACAGGAGCAGAGGCAUCAGGAAUCAUUGACGGCCAUGAUGGAAAGGAUGCAUGGCCUGUUCCUGGAGGCUAAUCAGGGGAGGGAACCAGCAGCUCAACCAGCAGUACCCCUACCAAGGGUGAGGGUAGCGAAGAUGUCGCUGGAGGAUGACCCCAAGGCUUACUUAGUUGCCUUUGAAAGACAGGCAACAGCAGCUCAGUGGCCUCGGGAGUUGUGGGCUACCCAGUUGGGCCCCAAUUUGAUCGGAGAGACCCAGGCAGCCUACCAAGCCCUGACACAUGAGCAAGCUCUGGUGUACGACCAGGUUAAGCAGGUCAUUCUUCAGCGGCUUGACAUCACGGAGGAGACACACCGCCGCCGAUCCCGGGAAUACCAGUGACCCCCAGGACUGCGACCCCAGUGGCUCUGCCCCGGCACCAACGAAAUAAGACAGAAAUUUAUCACAUUAACCUGCUAAAACCCUGGAAUGAAAGGUCAGCCCUAUUUAUAGCUUGUGACAGUUUAGAAGAGGAUUUUGGUCCCACUGUCAAUCCACUGGCUACAACUAACAUUCCGAUGGGAGAACAGUUACUUCUGGAUCAGAAACGUGAGCUCCACCAGUUGGUGGAAAGGUUUACUGAUGUUUUUUUCUGAUUUGCUGGGCAGAACUAAUGUUAUUUCUGCUAUUAUUACUCCGCCAAGUGUCAGGGUCCGAGAAAGACCGUACCGGAUCCCGUAUCAGAUUUAUGCACUUACCCGUCACACGCGAUUUCCAGCUCCAGUUUUCUGAUACAAAGCCCAUCUCUUCAAUGUUACAAUUGACUUGUUUAACUGUCACAGCCAGCAUUUUUUUUUUAUUUCAUUUUUUGCACUGCAAAUCAGUCUGUCUUUGUUCUGCACUGCAGUUACACAGCGCUUCUUCCAAAAAGCAAAUCGAACGAGACAAGCACGUUAAUGUAGAAGUUAAUCAUUAAACAGUUUUAGAUACUGUGCUGCAUUUAAAAAAAAAAAUCUGUGAUCUUUAGAUGCUUUUGUGCAUUUUCAUUUGCAAGUAAACUGUGACAUUAGGUUCUUAUCCAGCACUAUAUUUGGCAAUUUUGAAGACUGACUUUGGAUACUGUUUUAAUUCCGGAAACUGGUGUGUGACAGAGAGCGAAUAAAUCCUAGUCAACAAUCUCCCUCCCGACCUGUGAGGGCGCUGUAUAACAGGAACAGUGUGCCUCGUACUGGAUGGUCUGGCAUUUCAUUCCAGGGUCAGUCGGAACCCGCAAGAGAAGUUUGCAACCAAAAGCGCCUGUCAGGCAGCCCCGCCUCACAGGCAGAUAACAACAAAAGAGCACAACUUUUAAUGUCACACAUCUAAGCCCGCCUUGCAACUCCUACAGCUACGCCAUUUGCUCUCUGUAUUGGAGUUUGAAAGCUCGCCAGACAGUUUGAAGUUGGGUAGUUAGGAACAGAUGGACCAAUAUUGGAUUGAAUCCAUUGAAGAUUCGCUAAAGAGAGAGGUGGACCCAGACAUCAUCCUAAGAGUGAACCUGCUGUUUAAAACCAAAUCUGAAGAAAAUUUCAUCCAUGAAGUCUUGGAAGAAGUUAGCUGUAAUGAAGAUGGAUUCUUUACAGCAAGACGUCAAGCUAAAACUCAAUAUAUUAUAGAUGUGAAAGAGCAAAUAAACCAAAAGGAAAAUCACUUGGAAUUCCCUGGAAAACAAGAGCCAACGGUUGCAGGGCAUCUGUUAGUUUUAAUUUCAUAAAUGACUCUGCUUUCAAAGGCUGUGUUGUUCGUAUAUAGCUGUUAGGGCAGCAGAGUGGGCAAAACAGCAAGGUUUUGAUGAUUUGUGUGACCGUAGAUAUUUUGUCACACCCCACGAUGUGAAAGUGAUUAAAGAACAGAGUCUCACUAGACUAUACCUGGGUAAUGCUGAUUCGUCUAGCGUAGAUAAACUUCUCAAAACAGAUCUUAAAGACCAUGUGUUGUUCUAUAAGCCUUUAGCUCGCAGUGUUUCAAACCACUCAUGAUUGUCCUAUCCACGGAGUGUCAGCUUCAACAGCUACAGAAACAUGGGAAAGACAUUAUUUUUUUUAGAUGCUACAUAUAAAGGCGUGACUGCAUAUGCAUUUGCAUUGUAUGCCCUGAUUGUUAGCAAUGAAGCAGGUCGUGGUGUACCUGUUGCAUUCUUUAUUUUAAGUGAAUAAAACAGUCAGAAUCUUGGAUUGUGUCUUCAGAAGGUGAAAGAUGCCCUAAAUAAGUUCACACCAAGGUAAUUGUUUUUAAUUAGUCAUUUAUCAGGUGCUUUUAUCCAAGAGAUUAGGGGUAAACUAUAUAUCAACAACUGCUGAUGCAGAGUGACUCAGUUUUAUGUUUCUUCUUUCAGUUAUUCAAUGCCUUUGAGCACUAAGGCCUGCCCCAAAUCUAAAUUUUGACCCACCCGCUAAUCGCAAAUUACAAACCUGGUACUGAUGUCAGAAGGUUAUUCCUUCUACCCCAGAGGGAACCCGCCAUUAAUACUGGGUUUGUAAUUUGCGAAAUUUGGUAUAGGCCAAUGGUUGUUUCCUUACAAAAUAGGGGGAAUACUAAUAUUACUAAUUUGAACUAAUUCUGUUACAGAUGUAUAAUGAUAGACAAGGACAUGAAGGAAAGGAAUGCUGUGAGAGAUGUUUUCCCAAAUGCUGUCAUCCUGCUCUGUUGGUUUCAUGUAUUCAUAAGGUUUUAUUCCUAUUAGUGACUUCUACCUGUAUGUAGACCCGGGGAGAGAUGAGCACAUACAUUUACUGAGACACUUCAUUUAUAGGCUGUCCAUAUAUGGUUGGUCCAGAAGGAUGGAGGGAACUUGAAUGUUUCAGAGAGGAAUGAAGUCAUCAGGUCCAUGAUUAAGAUGAUUAAGCAAUAUAGUACACAGGGAGAGUUUUCCACAGAAGCAGAACAUGUGCUUAAGCAUCUCUGUGAUGUGACAAGGGACACACAUGUCAGCGACUACCUGAAGGAAAAUUGGCUUUCUAUUGCAAGUAUGUGGUCACAGUUUGGUCGACAGAUGUAUCACGGAAAUAAUGAGUCAAAUAAUUUAUCAGAAAGGUACAUAGAUGAAUUGCACAAAGUUGGAAGAAUUCAAGCAGGAACCAACCCAGCAGCUGUCAGUAAUUCCUCUGCUAAAAAAAAUGAUCGACAAAGGACUGUCUCCGUUCUGCAAUGUAAAAGAUAAUGGGGAUUGUUCUGUUCCUUCGGUAUACACUAAGGGCAAGUUUUACAGUGUUGGCCUCACAUUCUUAACCUGUAACUGUCCUUUUGCUUUACUUGGUGGCUAUCUGGUUGUGCAUUGUGAUGAUGGUCAACUCAUUGUUUGCAAUGGUCAGUGUAGCUGUAGGGCAAAUAAUUUUGGUGAAACGUGUAUGCUUACUAGUUCAGCAAUUUGUACAUGACACUCAAAGCAAAAGGCUUGAAACUCCAGUUGUGGAGGCUCAGUCUUCAGAUCCUGUGCCAGAGACAACAAGAAGCAACCAACUGUCCACAUCUCAGAUGAUAGCAGACUUAAAUGCCUGGUCAAACAGUCAAUUUUAAAGACACAAUGAAAUUGCACUGUGCUGUAAAAAUAGAUAAAAAGAAAAAUGUAUCCAUUGCACAGGUACCGCUCUAAUUGUGAGAAAGAGAUAAAAAAAAAUCAGGAUCAUUUGUAUGCUAAAUAUUCUAAAAGACCUAAUACAAUUCUUAAUUCUAAGUCUACUGAUAGCAGCUUUACCUCAGUUUCUAAAAGAAAAUAUAUGUGCAAAACAAAAUCAAGAGCACAAUCCAUGAAAUUCGUCUUAAAAAAAAAAAAGUUGAGAAUAAGUGAAAGAUUAAAAAAAAAAUCAGGAGCUACAAUUGAUAUUUUCAUACACAAAAUAAAAAGCUAAAUACAGUCAAACCUGCUCCCCUUUAUUUAAUUUAGAGACCACCUGCUCAUGUGACCACUUUUAAUUCCUCCCAAUGAUAUUUGUGCUUUUAUUUACCUGGAUUAAGAGACUACCUGUCUAACGUGACCAGUGACCACAAUUCUCUUACCCAGCAGUGGACUUAAACCU